AACGAACGCUGGCGGCAUGCCUAACACAUGCAAGUCGAACGAGACCUUCGGGUCUAGUGGCGCACGGGUGCGUAACGCGUGGGAACCUGCCCUUAGGUUCGGAAUAACUCCCCGAAAGGGGUGCUAAUACCGGAUAAGGUCUUCGGACCAAAGAUUUAUCGCCUUUGGAUGGGCCCGCGUUGGAUUAGCUAGUUGGUAGGGUAAAAGCCUACCAAGGCGACGAUCCAUAGCUGGUCUGAGAGGAUGAUCAGCCACACUGGGACUGAGACACGGCCCAGACUCCUGCGGGGGGCAGCAGUGGGGAAUAUUGGACAGUGGGCGAAAGCCUGAUCCAGCAAUGCCGUGGGAGUGAUGAAGGCCUUAGGGUUGUAAAGCUCUUUUACCCGGGAUGAUAAUGACAGUACCGGGAGAAUAAGCUCCGGCUAACUCCGU
rnacentral:rRNA from 1 species